rnacentral:rRNA from 1 species
GGAAUUUUGCGCAAUGGGCUAACGCCUGACGCAGCAACGCCGCGUGGAGGAUGAAGGUCUUUGGAUUGUAAACUCCUGUCAGCAGGGAAAAAGCGAAUCGGGUUAAUACCUCGGUGAGUUGAUUGUACCUGCAGAGGAAGCCCCGGCUAACUCUGUGCCAGCAGCCGCGGUAAUACAGAGGGGGCAAGCGUUAUUCGGAAUUAGUGGGCGUAAAGGGCGCGUAGGCGGCUUUUCAAGUGACGGGUGAAAUCCCUCGGCUUAACCGAGGAACUGCCUGUCAGACUGGAAGGCUUGAGACCGGGAGAGGUGAGUGGAAUUCCCAGUGUAGCGGUGAAAUGCGUAGAUAUUGGGAGGAACACCAGUGGCGAAGGCGGCUCACUGGACCGGAACUGACGCUGAGGCGCGAAAGCGUGGGGAGCAAA